CCUACGGGGGGCAGCAGUGGGGAAUAUUGGACAAUGGGGGGAACCCUGAUCCAGCCAUGCCGCGUGUGUGAAGAAGGCCCUCGGGUUGUAAAGCACUUUCAGUGAGGAAGAACGCCUGGUGGUUAAUACCCAUCAGGAAAGACAUCACUCACAGAAGAAGCACCGGCUAACUCCGUGCCAGCAGCCGCGGUAAUACGGAGGGUGCGAGCGUUAAUCGGAAUUACUGGGCGUAAAGCGCGCGUAGGUGGCUUGAUAAGCCGGUUGUGAAAGCCCCGGGCUCAACCUGGGAACGGCAUCCGGAACUGUCAAGCUAGAGUGCAGGAGAGGAAGGUUGAAUUCCCGGUGUAGCGGUGAAAUGCGUAGAGAUCGGGAGGAAUACCAGUGGCGAAGGCGGCCUUCUGGACUGACACUGACACUGAGGUGCGAAAGCGUGGGUAGCACACAGGAUUAGAUACCCCAGUAGUC
rnacentral:rRNA from 1 species